AUGGGCACAGUUUUAAACUAGGUGGUUAUCCUCCAUGGAAGAUCACCGAUCGAAAGCUGUGCCCAAAGCAAACCCCAGCCAUUGUAAAACAGCGGCGUGUUGGCCCUCAGUGCUCGCGUCUCUACCUGAACCUUGGCACAAAG
ensembl:snoRNA snoRNA:Psi28S-3436b snoRNA:Psi28S-3436b